GCUCGCAUAGCUCAGUUGGUCAGAGCGUGGUGCUAAUAUCUGCAACGCCAAGGUCACAGAUUUGAUCCCUGUAGUGAGCA
rnacentral:tRNA from 1 species